rnacentral:tRNA from 1 species
GAGGGUGUAGCUCAGCAGUAGAGCACAUGCUUAGCAUGCACGAGGUCCUGGGUUCAAUCCCCAGUACCUCCA